GACGAACGCUGGCGGCGUGCUUAACACAUGCAAGUCGAACGGAAAGGCCCUGCUUUUGUGGGGUGCUCGAGAGGCGAACGGGUGAGUAACACGUGAGUAACCUGCCCUUGACUUUGGGAUAACUUCAGGAAACUGGGGCUAAUACCGGAUAGGAGCUCCUGCUGCAUGGUGGGGGUUGGAAAGUUUCGGCGGUUGGGGAUGGACUCGCGGCUUAUCAGCUUGUUGGUGGGGUAGUGGCUUACCAAGGCUUUGACGGGUAGCCGGCCUGAGAGGGUGACCGGCCACAUUGGGACUGAGAUACGGCCCAGACUCCUACGGGAGGCAGCAGUGGGGAAUAUUGCACAAUGGGCGGAAGCCUGACGCAGCAACGCCGCGUGCGGGAUGACGGCCUUCGGGUUGUAAACCGCUUUCGCCUGUGACGAAGCGUGAGUGACGGUAAUGGGUAAAGAAGCACCGGCUAACUACGUG
rnacentral:rRNA from 1 species